rnacentral:lncRNA from 10 species
AGGGCUUCCAGUGGACUCUCCGAGGCACUGAUGUAGAAACAUCCCCAUUCGGUGCACCAAGAGCAGCCUCACACGGUGUGGGCCGACAGGAAGAGCUGCCAGAUCCAACAGCCCUUGAAGAUAAGGAUGGUCAAACAAAGUAAUAUCAUACCUGGAGAAACUCAGAUCUUGCUAAGAUUUACUGGCUGGGAAUCCAAUGUUAAUGCCAAGAAGCAGCCGCCAGUUGGGAUCAAAUGUGAGCCUAUGGAUCAAGAAAUGAGGUAUAGGGGAGAGAAACACAUACCUUGGAAAGAACUGACCCAGCCGAAUUGGAAAAUGUGGGAAGGGGAUGGGAAGAGGCUGCUGCACCUGAGAUCUGGCUCCAGGACUUACAGCAAGGGGAACUUGGGCAAGUUACAGACUCUCUGUGCCUCAGUUUCUUCAUCAGCAAAACAGAAGGAAUCAUCCCAUAAACUGUAA